AUUGAACGCUGGCGGCAGGCUUAACACAUGCAAGUCGAGCGGAGCGAGGGUGCUUGCACCUUAGCUUAGCGGCGGACGGGUGAGUAAUGCUUAGGAAUCUGCCUAUUAGUGGGGGACAACAUUCCGAAAGGAAUGCUAAUACCGCAUACGCCCUACGGAGGAAAGCAGGGGAUCUUCGGACCUUGCGCUAAUAGAUGAGCCUAAGUCGGAUUAGCUAGUUGGUGGGGUAAAGGCCUACCAAGGCGACGAUCUGUAGCGGGUCUGAGAGGAUGAUCCGCCACACUGGGACUGAGACACGGCCCAGACUCCUACGGGAGGCAGCAGUGGGGAAUAUUGGACAAUGGGCGGAAGCCUGAUCCAGCCAUGCCGCGUGUGUGAAGAAGGCCUUUUGGUUGUAAAGCACUUUAAGCGAGGAGGAGGCUACUAGUAUUAAUACUACUGGAUAGUGGGCGUUACUCGCAGAAUAAGCACCGGCUAACUCUGUGCCAACCGCCGCGGUAAUAC
rnacentral:rRNA from 1 species